rnacentral:lncRNA from 1 species
UCGAUAACUGUUGUUUGUCUCUAUUGAUACGGGAACGUANAGUACUGUCAUGAACUGGUGAGAAAUUCCUUGAUUAAGCAAUACCAACCUAGAAAUAGGGGGUAGGAUGAUCAAUUGUUUUUGCUUCUGUUCUUAAUGCAUUAUUAAUUGCUAGGGGAGGCUAGGGAUAGCAAGCCGGUAAUUAGUAAUAGGCUCUUCUCGCCGAGGGAUCGGGUUAAGGGUAGGCCAAGAAAGUUUGCAUAACAAUGAGAUAAUCAAGCACAUUAAACAAGAGGAGUAGAUAAGAGGGAGUCAAUAAGAUGAAA